AGUCAUGCAAUUCUUAGGAAUCUUGCUUGUGCAUUUCCUGGAGUAGCUGAUCACUGGGUAUCCAUCUGAUCUAUUCAAAAGGUCAAAGAUCGAAUCAGUGUUGGAUUGGCAUCACUCUAAUUUACGCCGUGGCGCAGGUAUUUUAUUCCCAAUGUUUUGGUAUAGUAAUUUUUCACCCUUUUAUUUAUUUUCUAAGGUCUAUGUCAUUCUUGAUUAAUCUUUCCUUUUCACCUACUUAUGUUCUAAAUACUAUUCUUGCACCUGUACUUGGCCUUCAAUUGAAUCCACGAGCUGCUGCUGAAGGUGAAAAACUAUUGUUUGCAUCACUUGCAAAGAUUGAAUCUAUUUGGUUGAAGGGGAAUGGUCAGUUUUUGCUGGGAAGCUCUCAAUAGUUCGAGUGGGGGUUGUGGAUUCGCUUAGUAGUCAUCCCACUGUUCGGCCAAUGCCACAUCAGCAACAAUCUCAUACAUUUUCAUCUCAAGAGGCUCACCUUUCAAAGAAAGAGAAGAACAAGAACAAGAACAAGAAGAACUAACAAGGUGAUUGCUUUUAGUGAUGAGGAGGGAGUGAGAUUUCAAUCUACUUUCUUACUAAUUGGUUGUAACGCUGCUUGUUCCAAGUAAACUGACUAGUAGACUUUGUUUAGUGGUCUGACAGUGCAAAAUGUUCUAAAAGAGAACUCUAUAGAAAUUUCCGAGGAAAGUUUUUUUGAGCUGAAGUAUGAUCCAGAGUCUGUUUGGGGUUGUAUCGAGGUAUUCCGCCCAUGUUGAAUAUCCUGUGGUUAUUCAAGCUGCACAACUUUCUCUGUUUGGUUUCAAUUUGGGAAUGUUUGUUGAAAAAAUUUCAAAAAAAAUUAAACACUAGUUUGGUUGGGG